UGGCCAGUGGCUUAGUGGUAUGGACACUAAGCCUGGCUAGACUGCUGGUGCAGACAUCACUCAGCAGUUUGUGGGUUCGAAUCCCGCCUGGCCCU